UACGUAGGGUGCGAGCGUUAAUCGGAAUUACUGGGCGUAAAGUGUGCGCAGGCGGCCGAGCAAGUCGAGUGUGAAAGCCCCGAGCUUAACUUGGGAACUGCGCUCGAAACUACUUGGCUAGAGUGUGGCAGAGGGAGGUGGAAUUCCGACGUGUAGCGGUGAAAUGCGUAGAGAUGUGGAGGAACACCGAUGGCGAAGGCAGCCUCCUGGGCCAACACUGACGCUCAUGCACGAAAGCGUGGGGAGCGAACAGG
rnacentral:rRNA from 1 species